UACGAAGGGUGCAAGCGUUACUCGGAAUUACUGGGCGUAAAGCGUGCGUAGGUGGUUUGUUAAGUCUGUCGUGAAAUCCCCGGGCUCAACCUGGGAAUGGCGAUGGAUACUGGCAAGCUAGAGUGAGGUAGAGGAGAGUGGAAUUCCCGGUGUAGCAGUGAAAUGCGUAGAGAUCGGGAGGAACAUCAGUUGCGAAGGCGGCUCUCUGGACCAUCACUGACACUGAGGCACGAAAGCGUGGAGAGCAAACAGG
rnacentral:rRNA from 1 species